rnacentral:rRNA from 1 species
GAUGAACGCUGGCGGCGUGCCUAAUACAUGCCAGUCGAGCGAACGGACGAGAAGCUUGCUUCUCUGAUGUUAGCGGCGGACGGGUGAGUAACACGUGGAUAACCUACCUAUAAGACUGGGAUAACUUCGGGAAGCCGGAGCUAAUACCGGAUGAUAUUUUGAACCGCAUGGUUCAAAAGUGAAAGACGGUCUUGCUGUCACUUAUAGAUGGAUCCGCGCUGCAUUAGCUAGUUGGUAAGGUAACGGCUUACCAAGGCAACGAUGCAUAGCCGACCUGAGAGGGUGAUCGGCCACACUGGAACUGAGACACGGUCCAGACUCCUACGGGAGGCAGCAGUAGGGAAUCUUCCGCAAUGGGCGAAAGCCUGACGGAGCAACGCCGCGUGAGUGAUGAAGGUCUUCGGAUCGUAAAACUCUGUUAUUAGGGAAGAACAUAUGUGUAAGUAACUGUGCACAUCUUGACGGUACCUAAUCAGAAAGCCACGGCUAACUACGUG